AUCCCUACCACCGCAAACAUCGUCAGAAUCACCUGUCACUACCAUAAUUGCCACACAUCACCUUAUUUUAGUCAUCACCACUACGACAGCCAACAUCACCACCAAAUAUAUCACCACCACCAUCAAUUUAUCACCGGCAGCAGCAGCACUACCACUAUUACUACGGUUAACACCACCGUCAUCGCCAUCACCACCACCAAUCACUACCCCCCCCCCAUCAUUACCACCGCUACCAUCGGCUCGUUCCUGCAGCCACUUGCUUCUCCCGCAGCCAUCAGCACACGUGUGUGUCCUUCUGGGUGAGUGCUUGGCUUCUCAGAAGCUUGCUCUUGGACUACACUGUCAACGAGGGGAACAUGGUCCAGCUCCUGCGCUGUUUGGGGAUGCACUUGGCUCGUGCCUGGGUCUAAGUCUUCAUCUGCAACCCCAUCAAGCAUCAGCCUCCAGGGCCAAGCUCCCAGUGGCGUGAAGCCCCAAGAGAGGACUUGGCGGGGGUGACAGUGGGCAGAGAAACUCAUAGUCUAAGUACAUGGCCAGAAAACAAGAGAACAAAGACAAAUGGAUUGAGCUUCGGGUUAAAAAAGUUAGAAGAAGAUGCAAAACAAACAGAUGGAAGCCAUUGCUGAAGUUAAUGAGUCACAGAAAGAAACAUGAGGCCUGUACCUAAAAAGCUGCUCUCUGAAAGUCAACAGAUGAACCCUUGCAAAUCCAAUCAGCUGCGUUACUUACUCUUCUCCUAGCUGGACACAUUGCCUGACAGAAGCAACCUAAGGGAGGAAGUGUUUAUCCUCUCUCACAGCUCAAGGGUCCAGUCCAUCAUGGCGUCCACGUCGGAUCCACUGCCAGGAAGCAGAAGCAGACGAACGCUGGCACUCAGCUUGCCUUUUCCUUUCUACUCAGUCAGGAUGCCAGCCCAUGCAUGGGAUGGCUCUGCAAACAUUUGAGGUGUUUCUGGAAACAUCCGAAGACAUGCACCAGUAAUGCUGGGAUUAAUUAUCAGUCCGAUCAAGCUGAUGGUCUGAGUGAACUGUUAGAGAGGAAGAAGGAACUUAAAAUAGGAACCGCAGAGUCAGGUACCAUUGGCCAGAACUGACUGGCCUCUGUGGGAGGGAGAGCAGUUUUAAACUACUCUUUCACAAAGAAAGAGAGUCAAUAAGCCCCACGGCAGACUCAGACCCUCAGAGACAGUCCUUGUGCUAAUUAACUACCCCACUGCACAGGGCGAGAAGAAAAGUGGCCGGAGCAGUUUCAUGAAGCAAGAAGUCAGGGUUUGGUUUUUUCCUUUCUUUUCUUUCUAAUUUGAGGAUUGUACAAGAAUGAAAUGGCAGGCUGGUCUCAGUUAUGAGUAUCGAUGCAACAUUUAAAAAAUAUAUUGUAAAAUAGGAUCCAAACAAUGUGUCAAAAUGGUAGUUCUCAUCAACACCACCUGUAUCACUCUCAUGUCCACUUGGAGUUCACUCCAGGAAUAAAGAAUGUCCAACAUGAGGACUGCUUAUGUAUGAAUGUAUGAAUAGAUGCAUCGUGUUAGUACUGUUAACCACUGAGGUCAGAAGAGUGGCUCAGAUGCCCUGGACCUGGAGUUAGGGAUGGUUGAGAGCCUCCAAAGUGGUUUCUGGGAACUGAACCCAGGUCCUCUGCAAGAGCAGCCAGUGCUCUUAAUCCCGGACUCAUCUCCCUAGAGCCCCCAACACACACACACACUUACACACACACACACACUUACACACACACACACUUACACACACACACACACACACACACACACACACUUACACACACACACACACACACACACUUACACACACACACACACACACACUUACACACACACACACACUUACACACACACACACACACACACACACACACAC
ensembl:lncRNA